GUAGGUGGCAAGCGUUGUCCGGAAUUAUUGGGCGUAAAGCGCGCGCAGGCGGUCCUUUAAGUCUGAUGUGAAAGCCCACGGCUCAACCGUGGAGGGUCAUUGGAAACUGGGGGACUUGAGUACAGAAGAGGAAAGCGGAAUUCCAAGUGUAGCGGUGAAAUGCGUAGAGAUUUGGAGGAACACCAGUGGCGAAGGCGGCUUUCUGGUCUGUAACUGACGCUGAGGCGCGAAAGCGUGGGGAGCAAACAGGAUUAGAUACCCUGGUAGUCCACACCGUAAACGAUGAGUGCUAAGUGUUAGGGGGUUUCCCGCCCCCCUUAGUGCUGCAGCUAACGCAUUAAGCACUCCGCCUGGGGAGUACGGCUGCAAGGCUG
rnacentral:rRNA from 1 species